CAGUAGCCACGGUAAUACGUAGGUGGCAAGCGUUGUCCGGAUUUAUUGGGCGUAAAGCGAGCGCAGGCGGUCAAUUAAGUCUGAUGUGAAAGCCCCCGGCUCAACCGGGGAGGGUCAUUGGAAACUGGUUGACUUGAGUGCAGAAGAGGAGAGUGGAAUUCCAUGUGUAGCGGUGAAAUGCGUAGAUAUAUGGAGGAACACCAGUGGCGAAGGCGACUCUCUGGUCUGUAACUGACGCUGAGGCUCGAAAGCGUGGGUAGCAAACAGGAUUAGAUACCCCUGUAGUCCCUGUCUCUUAUAC
rnacentral:rRNA from 1 species